AUUUGGGCUUGACAGGCGGAUAUGAGCAGCGAAAGAGUGAUCCGUUCCGAAGACGGAGAGACCUUGGCCAGGGGAACUGAAAUACCGGGCCGGGCAUCAGGCGGAUGAGCCCAGCUUCCAGAUCCGAGACUAUGUAGAGUCCCAGAAGAAGCGCUCCAGCUGCUGCUCCUUCAUGUGAAUCCCAGGGGGCAGAGAGGAGGCUCUGGAGGCACACAGGAUGCAGCCUUCCCCCUCCCAGGCCUGGCUUAUUCCAAGCAGCUGAGCCAAUGGGGAGAAAGAUGGAGGACUCACUGCACAGCCCCUUCCUAGCAAGGAGCUAUACUCCAACUCCUACUCGAGUUCCUGCGGUCUCCCCGCAUCCACAGGGAGGGUAAAACACUUAGCUUUUAUUUUAAUAGUACAUAAUUUAUACCAAACAAGGCACCUGGAUCCCCAAAAAACCGAGGCUGGGAGCUAGUGGCCCUUUUGCUUUCUAGGACUUGGGGGGCUGGCCCUCCCUCCUAAGCAUAACAAAGGUGGUGUUGCUCCAGCUCAGCCCCAGGGGACACAGAUGCACUUUG
rnacentral:sRNA from 1 species